CAGACGCCCAAGGUAGGGUCGAUGAUUGGGGUGAAGUCGUAACAAGGUGAGCCGUAGGGGAACCUGCGGCUGGAUCACCUCCUUU
rnacentral:ncRNA from 1 species